UGCUGCGCUGGUCGAGCUGGGCGUGCGGCGGGCGUUUGGUGUGCUCGGAGGCGCCAUCGCGCGGUUCUGCGGCGCGCUGCACC
rnacentral:tRNA from 1 species